GAGCGAAGCACUUAGGAAAGAUUCUUCGGAUGAUUUCCUAUUUGACUGAGCGGCGGACGGGUGAGUAACGCGUGGGUAACCUGCCUCAUACAGGGGGAUAACGGUUAGAAAUGACUGCUAAUACCGCAUAAGACCACAGCACCACAUGGUGCAGGGGUAAAAACUCCGGUGGUAUGAGAUGGACCCGCGUCUGAUUAGUUAGUUGGUGGGGUAACGGCCUACCAAGGCGGCGAUCAGUAGCCGACCUGAGAGGGUGACCGGCCACAUUGGGACUGAGACACGGCCCAAACUCCUACGGGAGGCAGCAGUGGGGAAUAUUGCACAAUGGGGGAAACCCUGAUGCAGCGACGCCGCGUGAGCGAAGAAGUAUUUCGGUAUGUAAAGCUCUAUCAGCAGGGAAGAAAAUGACGGUACCUGACUAAGAAGCCCCGGCUAACUACGUGCCAGCAGCCGCGGUAAUACGUAGGGGGCAAGCGUUAUCCGGAUUUACUGGGUGUAAAGGGAGCGUAGACGGAGCAGCAAGUCUGAUGUGAAAACCCGGGGCUCAACCCCGGGACUGCAUUGGAAACUGUUGAUCUGGAGUGCCGGAGAGGUAAGCGGAAUUCCUAGUGUAGCGGUGAAAUGCGUAGAUAUUAGGAGGAACACCAGUGGCGAAGGCGGCUUACUGGACGGUAACUGACGUUGAGG
rnacentral:rRNA from 1 species